GACGAACGCUGGCGGCGUGCUUAACACAUGCAAGUCGAACGGAAAGGCCCUGCUUUUGUGGGGUGCUCGAGUGGCGAACGGGUGAGUAACACGUGUGUAACCUGCCCUUGACUUUGGGAUAACUUCAGGAAACUGGGGCUAAUACCGGAUAGGAGCUCCUGCUGCAUGGUGGGGGUUGGAAAGUUUCGGCGGUGGGGGAUGGACUCGCGGCUUAUCAGCUUGUUGGUGGGGUAGUGGCUUACCAGGGCUUUGACGGGUAGCCGGCCUGAGAGGGUGACCGGCCACAUUGGGACUGAGAUACGGCCCAGACUCCUACGGGAGGCAGCAGUGGGGAAUAUUGCACAAUGGGCGGAAGCCUGAUGCAGCAACGCCGCGUGCGGGAUGACGGCCUUCGGGUUGUAAACCGCUUUCGCCUGUGACGAAGCGUGAGUGACGGUAAUGGGUAAAGAAGCACCGGCUAACUACGUG
rnacentral:rRNA from 1 species